AAAAAGAUAAAACCUGGUUUCCGUGUCCAACUUUAACUGUCUGUCUUAUAUAAUUUUUUUUAUAAUUCGUAUUUUUAUUGUUGUUAGAUGAUAAAACAUGAUUAAUAUUUUAUACGUGACUUGUCUUUUUAAUUUUUUUUAUAAUUUUUUCAAAUAAGACGGACGGUCAAACGUUGGACAUGUAAACCAGGGUU
rnacentral:pre_miRNA from 1 species